GCCGCAGUAGCUCAGUUGGUAGAGUGUUACCUUGGUAAGGUAGAGGUCCCGAGUUCAAAUCUCGGCUGUGGCU
rnacentral:tRNA from 6 species